UGGGGUAUAGCUCGGUGGUAGAGCACUUGCCUGGCACGUGCAAGAACCUGGGUUUUAUUCCUAGUGCCAUGA
rnacentral:tRNA from 1 species